AAAAGAGAUGACCAAAAAAAAAUCCUAACCCAAAGCACUCACUAAGAAGACUUUUUCAUAAACCGAACUAUGAGUGACCCAAUGUAUAUACAAAUAACCAUUGAUACACAACCAGUCUAUAUACCCUCAGUUACACUUACAAUAUAUCAGUACUGACCUUUCAGCUUACUGAAUCAUUUUUCAUUCGCAUAGAAUAUCACUAGUAGAAAAAAUCGCUAUAGCUACGAAUUUGCUACGUUAUUUUCGUAGCAAAAUGGAAAAAGCUACGAAUUUGCUACGAAUUUGCCACGAAACGUAAAACGUAGCAAACCAUAUCAAUUGUGUAGCUAAAUUAGCUACGAUUUUGCUACGAAUGUAAACGUAGCAAAAAAUUGCUACGAUUUUGCUACGAAUAUUACGUGGCUAAUAUACAAAAUAUCUUUUAGCUACGAUUUGCUAUGAAAAUAUUCGUGGCUAUUUGAAACCCUAUACCCUAAACAUGUUUCUAACCCCUAAACUCUAAAAGUAAACUUUAAACUCUAAUAUUUUCAUACUAUAACCUCAAAAUCUUAAAGUUAAACUCAAAUUUAAUCACUUUUAAAAUAACUUUUCAAAUUUUAAAUCUAAACUCAAACACUAUAUUUCAAACCCUAAACUUUAUAUAUAAACUCUAUACCCAAAUCAUAAAUCAAAACAUUAACUCUAAUAUUUUCAAAGUUUAACAACAAAUAUCAACUUAAACUCAAAAUUUAAUAUUUUAAAUAAAUUAUUUCCAAAACUACUAAAAUUCAAACACUAUAUUCCAAACCAUAUACAAUAACUCUAAAUUUUAUACACCAAAUCGUAAAAUCCAAACAUCAAAUUUAACCUUUUCAAAUUUAAACACCAAAACCUAAACAUAGAUACUAAUCAAAAAAUUUCAAAUUGUAUUCUCAAAUUUUACUCUAAACCCCAAACCUAAGACUCCAAAUAAACUUUAAUCAUGAACAUUAACCUUAUAUUUAAAACUUUUAAAUUAGACUAAACUUUUAACUUUAAUCAUAGUCAUUAAUCAAAUCCUAUAUUAUAAAUCUAUUAUUUAAAUUUAAAUUCAUUUGUUUAAACCCCAUAUAAACCCAUUCAUAUUUAAGUGAAUUAGAAGCUUAUUUGAUGACCAAAGAAAAAGAAUUAACAGCUUAAUUCUGAUUGGACCAAAAAGUGAGGCGUGGAUCACCAUUUUCGAAUCUCUGCCGUUGAUAAUCUUACGGCUCAGAUUAAUUCACUAUUAAUAUUUUAUGUUUGUUUUAUCUCUUUCUUCCUUUCUUCUUCCUCCACACGAUUUUAUACUUCUUAUUUUCUUCUUCUUCUGUACCUCUUCGAUCUCCUCAUCUAAUCUCAUCUCUCUUAUCCUCUUCCCAUCUCUCUUUCUCCUCUGCUCAUCUUUCAUUUACUUUUCUUCUUUCAAGCAAAUGGAUCUGAACGAAGAGGAUUACCACCGUCAUGCUUCUCACCACCAUGCUCCUUUCUAUUCGGUUGCGCCCUUCACCACCGCACGCUCGUCAACACCACCACCGGAAAGUGGAGGAGGCACAGGAUUGAUGAAUGAGGCACAGGAGAUUGAUGGAGGAGGUAGCAGUGGUGGGUCGUGAGCAGAGCCGGCUUGAAUGUUGAAGACGAAGAAGCUCGGUGAGGAGGCCGCAGGCGGCGGAGAAUAUACAUUAGGUUUAGAUUAGGGUUAGGUAUAUUUUUAAUUUGGUUUAGUAUGCUAAACCGAUUUUAUUUAUUAAUAGUUUGAUAAAUCGUUUUAAAUUUUGUAAGCCAAUUUGAUAUAUAAAAUAUAAUUUAAUAAUAUUUUUUUAUUUCGUAAA